CUUUGUGAAACGGCCCUAUGCUUAUGCGUUUGAUCAGUUUUCCUUAGCUGAUAAAUCUCGAGACUGACAGCUAGCUAUACAUCUUAAAUAACACCGAUCCAUCUCCCCGACAGUCACCCUACCUUACGCACCUGGAUUGUAGUCAGUCACAGCCAGCUACCACAAGACAUCUAUACCAACCUGUCCUCCUCCAUCCCUCUGUGGGAAAUGUCUGUCAUCAAAAUUUGACCACCCCAAGAAGGAAAUUUUGCCUACUUUAUGCGAGGAGAACAGAUGCAAAGCAGAGCCAGGCAUUCCAGCUUCCUAACCAUGCCCGCCAGUUGAUGAAAGCCUAAAUUAUAGGCUGCACAGCAGACAUUACGGAACGGGACUUGUGGGUUCUUCAGAUACUUGGAAUACCGUCAUUGUACCCUUGAGCCAGGUACUUGCUGGAAUUCGUCAGUGUGUAAAAUGUCUAAAAUGAAAUGGCUAUCAGCAAUAAGCUAAUGUGAGGUGUGCAUGUAAGAGAAAGCUACAGUAUCUGAAAGCAUUUUAUUAUUAAUCACCCCAUGCCAAACAGUAUGCUCUAGCAGAGUUACACAUAUUAAAACCUUGUUUCAAGUA